CCUACGGGGGGCUGCAGUGAGGAAUAUUGGUCAAUGGGCGCAAGCCUGAACCAGCCAUCCCGCGUGCAGGAAGACGGCCCUAUGGGUUGUAAACUGCUUUUCCAGGGGGAGAAUUUUUCUGUCGUGACAGGAAUUGACGGUACCCUGGGAAUAAGCAUCGGCUAACUCCGUGCCAGCAGCCGCGGUAAUACGGAGGAUGCGAGCGUUAUCCGGAUUAAUUGGGUUUAAGGGGUAUAGAGAAGUCUGUGGAGAAAACCUGCAGCUUAACUGUAGACUUGCCGUUGAUACUGUCAGUCUUGAGUAUGGUCAAGGUAGGCGGAAUGUGUAAUGUAGCGGUGAAAUGCUUAGAUAUUACACAGAACACCGAUUGCGAAGGCAGCUUACUGGGCCAUUACUGACGCUGAUGCACGAAAGCGUGGGGAUCGAACAGGAUUAGAUACCCCAGUAGUC
rnacentral:rRNA from 1 species